UACGGGGGGGGCAAGCGUUGUUCGGAAUUACUGGGCGUAAAGCGCACGUAGGCGGAUUGUUAAGUCGGGGGUGAAAUCCUGGAGCUCAACUCCAGAACUGCCUUCGAUACUGGCGAUCUCGAGUUCGGGAGAGGUGAGUGGAACUGCGAGUGUAGAGGUGAAAUUCGUAGAUAUUCGCAAGAACACCAGUGGCGAAGGCGGCUCACUGGCCCGAUACUGACGCUGAGGUGCGAAAGCGUGGGGAGCGAACAGG
rnacentral:rRNA from 1 species